rnacentral:rRNA from 1 species
UACGUAGGGCGCAAGCGUUGUCCGGAUUUAUUGGGCGUAAAGAGCGUGUAGGCGGCUUGGUAGGUCCGCUGUGAAAACUCGAGGCUCAACCUCGAGAUGUCGGCGGAAACCACUUGGCUAGAGUCCGGAAGAGGAGAGUGGAAUUCCUGGUGUAGCGGUGAAAUGCGCAGAUAUCAGGAAGAACACCUAUGGCGAAGGCAGCUCUCUGGGACGGUACUGACGCUGAGACGCGAAAGCCAGGGGAGCAAACGGG